rnacentral:rRNA from 1 species
GGCCCGCACAAGCGGUGGAGCAUGUGGUUUAAUUCGAUGCAACGCGAAGAACCUUACCUGGUCUUGACAUCCACGGAAGUUUUCAGAGAUGAGAAUGUGCCUUCGGGAACCGUGAGACUGGUGCUGCAUGGCUGUCGUCAGCUCGUGUUGUGAAAUGUUGGGUUAAGUCCCGCAACGAGCGCAACCCUUAUCCUUUGUUGCCAGCGGUCCGGCCGGGAACUCAAAGGAGACUGCCAGUGAUAAACUGGAGGAAGGUGGGGAUGACGUCAAGUCAUCAUGGCCCUUACGACCAGGGCUACACACGUGCUACAAUGGCGCAUACAAAGAGAAGCGACCUCGCGAGAGCAAGCGGACCUCAUAAAGUGCGUCGUAGUCCGGAUUGGAGUCUGCAACUCGACUCCAUGAAGUCGGAAUCGCUAGUAAUCGUAGAUCAGAAUGCUACGGUGAAUACGUUCCCGGGCCUUGUACACACCGCCCGUCACACCAUGGGAGUGGGUUGCAAAAGAAGUAGGUAGCUUAACCUUCGGGAGGGCGCUUACCACUUUGUGAUUCAUGA